rnacentral:tRNA from 1 species
GCCGGGAUGGCGGAACUGGUAGACGCAGGGGACUUAAAAUCCCCCGGUGGUAACACUGUGCCGGUUCGACUCCGGCUCUCGGUACCA